AUUAAUAUGACAGAAAAAUGUGAUGAAUUUAAGCUUCAUUUAUGACUAAAAAUCUUUUAAUU
rnacentral:tRNA from 1 species